GCGAGCCGUAUACAUCGAGAGGUGUACGUACGGUUCUGAGGGGAGCGUCUGGAAACCUAACGAGGAGACUUUAAAAGGCGCCGGACGCUUACCCUAC
rnacentral:ncRNA from 1 species